ACAUUGUUUCUUGAUCCAUACUAUAAGAAAUAAGUACUGCCCAGUGAUAUUAUUUCAACGGCCGCGGUAUACUGACCGUGCGAAGGUAGCAUAAUAAUUUGUCUCCUAAUUAGGGAAUAGAAUGAAUGGACAAACUCGAAACAUACUGUCUCUAUAACACACUAAUAACUUUAUCUUCAGGUGAAAAAGCCUGAAUAUGAUAAAAAGACAAGAAGACCCUAAAAGCUUUAUAUCUUACAGCUAACUCCAAGCACCAUGAUCUUUUGUUGGGACGACAACAAGAAUAAAAAACACUUGUAAAAAUAAAGACCAAGUCUCCAUUAUUAACCAAAAAAAGAAAAUAUGUAAGCUACUCUAGGGGUAACAGGCUAAUGUUCUUAAAGAGUACACAUUGACAAGAACGUUUGGCACCUCGAUGUUGGCUUAGGGACUCUCUUUCAUGCAAAAGUAAAAAAAGAAGGUUUGUUCAACCUAUAAUCCCCUACAUGAUC
rnacentral:rRNA from 1 species